rnacentral:lncRNA from 1 species
AUUUGUCUUUUAAGACCUAAUGAACCACAAUGCAUAGUUUUCUAUUCUCUUAAAUAUUUUGUCAAACAUAUGGUAGACAUAAGUUAAGCAUAUGGAUAUGGCAUGAAAUCAUAAUUUGGAUAACAAACAUGUCAAAUACUUAAAUUCUUUUUCACAUAGGCAUUUUAGCAAUCAUCUUACAUGCACCAUUUAGGGCAUAGGUUUAAUGCUCAAUUUCAUGCACCACAACACCAUCAUCCUUCAACUUCAACAUCCACAUUUCUCAAUUCACAAU